rnacentral:rRNA from 1 species
AUUGAACUGAAGAGUUUGAUCAUGGCUCAGAUUGAACGCUGGCGGCAGGCCUAACACAUGCAAGUCGAGCGGUAACAGGGGAGCUUGCUCCUGCUGACGAGCGGCGGACGGGU